rnacentral:rRNA from 1 species
UACGAAGGGGGCUAGCGUUGCUCGGAAUCACUGGGCGUAAAGCGCACGUAGGCGGAUUCCUAAGUCGGGUGGUGAAAUCCUGGAGCUCAACUCCAGAACUGCCUCCGAUACUGAGAGUCUUCGAGUCCGGGAGAGGUGAGUGGAACUGCGAGUGUAGAGGUGAAAUUCGUAGAUAUUCGCAAGAACACCAGUGGCGAAGGCGGCUCACUGGCC